GACGAACGCUGGCGGCGUGCUUAACACAUGCAAGUCGAACGGAAAGGCCCUGCUUGCAGGGUACUCGAGUGGCGAACGGGUGAGUAACACGUGGGUGAUCUGCCCUGCACUUCGGGAUAAGCCUGGGAAACUGGGUCUAAUACCGGAUAGGAGCCAUUUUUAGUGUGAUGGUUGGAAAGUUUUUUCGGUGUAGGAUGAGCUCGCGGCCUAUCAGCUUGUUGGUGGGGUAAUGGCCUACCAAGGCGGCGACGGGUAGCCGGCCUGGGAGGGUGGACGGCCACAGUGGGAUUGAGACACGGCCCAGACUCCUACGGGUGGGAGCAGUGGGGAAUAGUGCACAAGGGGCGCAAGCCUGAUGCAGCGACGCCGCGUGGGGGAGGACGGCCUUCGGGUUGGAAACUCCUUUCGCUAGGGACGAAGCUUUUUGUGACGGUACCUAGAUAAGAAGCACCGGCUAACUACGUG
rnacentral:rRNA from 1 species